rnacentral:rRNA from 1 species
CGAAAGCCUGACGGAGCAAUACCGCGUGAGGGAAGAAGGCUUUUGGGUUGUAAACCUCUUUUGUCAGGGAAGAAGAAUUGACGGUACCUGAAGAAAAAGCAUCGGCUAACUCCGUGCCAGCAGCCGCGGUAAUACGGAGGAUGCAAGCGUUAUCCGGAAUCAUUGGGCGUAAAGGGUCCGCAGGUGGCGAAUAAAGUCUGCUGUUAAAGACCGGGGCUUAACUCCGGAAAGGCAGUGGAAACUGAUUAGCUGGAGUACGGUAGGGGUAGAGGGAAUUCCCAGUGUAGCGGUGAAAUGCGUAGAUAUUGGGAAGAACACCGGUGGCGAAAGCGCUCUACUAGGCCGAAACUGACACUGAGGGACGAAAGCUAGGGUAGCGAAAGGGAUUAGAUACCCCUGUAGUCUUAGCGGUAAACGAUGGAUACUAGGUGUAGCUUGUAUCGACCCGAGCUGUGCCGAAGCUAACGCGAUAAGUAUCCCGCCUGGGGAGUACGCACGCAAGUGUGAAACUCAAAGGAAUUGACGGGGGCCCGCACAAGCGGUGGAGUAUGUGGUUUAAUUCGAUGCAACGCGAAGAACCUUACCAGGGCUUGACAUGUCGCGAAUCUAGCGGAAACGUUAGAGUGCCUUAGGGAAUGCGAACACAGGUGGUGCAUGGCUGUCGUCAGCUCGUGUCGUGAGAUGUUGGGUUAAGUCCCGCAACGAGCGCAACCCUCGUCCUUAGUUGCCAAUAUUAAGUUAGGCACUCUAGGGAGACUGCCGGGGACAACUCGGAGGAAGGUGGGGAUGACGUCAAGUCAGCAUGCCCCUUACGUCCUGGGCGACACACGUACUACAAUGGUUGGGACAAAGGGCAGCAAGCUCGCGAGAGUAAGCGAAUCUCAUCAAACCCAGCCACAGUUCAGAUUGCAGGCUGCAACUCGCCUGCAUGAAGUAGGAAUCGCUAGUAAUCGCAGGUCAGCAUACUGCGGUGAAUUCGUUCCCGGGCCUUGUACACACCGCCCGUCACACCAUGGAAGCUGGCUACGCCCGAAGUCGUUACCCUAACCCGGUUUUGGGAGGGGGAUGCCGAAGGUAGAGCUAGUGACUGGGGUGAAGUCGUAACAAGGUAGCCGUACCGGAAGGUGUGGCUGGAUCACCUCCUUU